rnacentral:rRNA from 1 species
GACGGAGGAUGCAAGCGUUAUCCGGAAUGAUUGGGCGUAAAGCGUCCGCAGGUGGCAGUUCAAGUCUGCUGUCAAAGACCGGGGCUUAACUUCGGAAAGGCAGUGGAAACUGAACAGCUAGAGUAUGGUAGGGGCAGAGGGAAUUCCUGGUGUAGCGGUGAAAUGCGUAGAGAUCAGGAAGAACAUCGGUGGCGAAGGCGGGUCUCUGGGCAAUUCCUGACGCUGAGGCGCGAAAGCGUGGGGAGCAAACGGG